rnacentral:rRNA from 1 species
AACGAACGCUGGCGGCAUGCCUAACACAUGCAAGUCGAACGAGACCUUCGGGUCUAGUGGCGCACGGGUGCGUAACGCGUGGGAACCUGCCCUUAGGUUCGGAAUAACUCCCCGAAAGGGGUGCUAAUACCGGAUAAUGUCUUCGGACCAAAGAUUUAUCGCCUUUGGAUGGGCCCGCGUUGGAUUAGCUAGUUGGUAGGGUAAAAGCCUACCAAGGCGACGAUCCAUAGCUGGUCUGAGAGGAUGGUCAGCCACACUGGGACUGAGACACGGCCCAGACUCCUGCGGGAGGCAGGAGUGGGGAAUAUUGGACAAUGGGCGGAAGGCUGAACCAGCAAUGCCGGGUGAGUGAUGAAGGCCUUAGGGUUGUAAAGCUCUUUUACCCGGGAUGAUAAUGACAGUACCGGGAGAAUAAGCGCCGGCUAACUCCGUG